rnacentral:rRNA from 1 species
CCUACGGGCGGCAGCAGUGAGGAAUAUUGGUCAAUGGGCGCGAGCCUGAACCAGCCAAGUCGCGUGAGGGAAGACGGUCCUAUGGAUUGUAAACCUCUUUUGUCGGGGAGCAAAAGACGCCACGCGUGGCGUUCCGAGAGUACCCGAAGAAAAAGCAUCGGCUAACUCCGUGCCAGCAGCCGCGGUAAUACGGAGGAUGAGAGCGUUAUCCGGAUUUAUUGGGUUUAAAGGGUGCGCAGGCGGAAGAUCAAGUCAGCGGUAAAAUUGAGAGGCUCAACCUCUUCGAGCCGUUGAAACUGGUUGUCUUGAGUGAGUGAGAGGUAUGCGGAAUGCGUGGUGUAGCGGUGAAAUGCAUAGAUAUCACGCAGAUCUCCGAUUGCGAAGGCAGCAUACCGGCGCUCAACUGACGCUCAUGCACGAAAGUGUGGGUAUCGAACAGGAUUAGAUACCCGGGUAGUC